rnacentral:lncRNA from 1 species
UUAUACAAUCAAUCCUUACAUGAAAAUAUAGCUCAUUUACUAUGCGGCUAUAUAGAUUUACAUAAGCAAAUGCUUAUAUGGUCAGUUUUGGUUGUUGCGGACAAAUAAUUUAUUAUAUGAGUCAGUCUGAGGUAUGAAAACUACUGAAUUUUGUUUACGAUUCAAUAUUUUGAAUAAAAAAAGGACAUGCUGGCACUCUAAAUUGAUGCGAACAAAAUUUUUUAGUCAUAAUAUUCAAAUAUUGCUACCUAUUUUCUUAUACAAUCAAUCCUUACAUGAAAAUAUAACUCAUUUACUAUGUGGCUAUAUAGAUUUACAUAAUAAAAUGCUUAUAUGGUCAGUUUUGGUUGUUGCGGACAAAUAAUUUUAUUAUAUGAGUCAGUCUGAGGUAUGAAAACUACUGAAUUUUGUUUACGAUUCAAAAUUUUGAAUAAAAAAAGGACAUGCUGGCACUCUAAUUUGAUGCGAACAAAAUUUUUUAGUCAUAAUAUUCAAAUAUUGCUACCUAUUUUCUUAUACAAUCAAUCCUUACAUGAAAAUAUAACUCAUUUACUAUGCGGCUAUAUAGAUUUACAUAAUAAAAUGCUUAUAUGGUCAGUUUUGGUUGUUGCGGACAAAUAAUUUUAUUAUAUGAGUCAGUCUGAGGUAUGAAAACUACUGAAUUUUGUUUACGAUUCAAUAUUUUAAAUAAAAAAGGACAUGCUGGCACUCUAAAUUGAUGGGAACAAAAUUUUUUUAAUCAUAAUAUUCAAAUAUAUCUACCUUUUUUAUUAUACAAUCAAUCCUUACUUGAAAAUAUAACUCAUUUACUAUGCAGCUAUAUAGAUUUACAUACUAGAAUGCUUAUAUGGUCAGUUUUGGUUGUUGCGGACAAAUAUUUUUAUUAUAUGAGUCAGUCUGAGGUAUGAAAACUACUGAAUUUUGUUUACGAUUCAAUAUUUUGAAUAAAAAAGGACAUGCUGGCACUCUAAAUUGAUGCGAACAAAAUUUUUUUAAUCAUAAUAUUCAAAUAUUGCUACCUAUUUUUUAUACAAUCAAUCCUUACAUGAAAAUAUAACUCAUUUACUAUGCGGCUAUAUAGAUUUACAUACUAGAAUGCUUAUAUGGUCAGUUUUGGUUGUUGCGGACAAAUAAUUUUAUUAUAUGAGUCAGUCUGAGGUAUGAAAACUACUGAAUUUUGUUUACGAUUCAAUAUUUUGAAUAAAAAAAAGGACAUGCUGGCACUCUAAAUUGAUGCGAACAAAAUUUUUUUAGUCAUAAUAUUCAAAUAUUGCUACCUAUUUUCUUAUACAAUCAAUCCUUACAUGAAAAUAUAACUCAUUUACUAUGCGGCUAUAUAGAUUUACAUAAUAAAAUGCUUAUAUGGUCAGUUUUGGUUGUUGCGGACAAAUAAUUUUAUUAUAUGAGUCAGUCUGAGGUAUGAAAACUACUGAAUUUUGUUUACGAUUCAAUAUUUUAAAUAAAAAAAAGGACAUGCUGGCACUCUAAAUUGAUGCGAACAAAAUUUUUUUAAUCAUAAUAUUCAAAUAUUGCUACCUUUUUUAUUAUACAAUCAAUCCUUACUUGAAAAUAUAACUCAUUUACUAUGCGGCUAUAUAGAUUUACAUACUAGAAUGCUUAUAUGGUCAGUUUUGGUUGUUGCGGACAAAUAAUUUUUAUUAUAUGAGUCAGUCUGAGGUAUGAAAACUACUGAAUUUUGUUUACGAUUCAAUAUUUUGAAUAAAAAAGGACAUGCUGGCACUCUAAAUUGAUGCGAACAAAAUUUUUUUAGUCAUAAUAUUCAAAUAUUGCUACCUAUUUUCUUAUACAAUCAAUCCUUACAUGAAAAUAUAACUCAUUUACUAUGCGGCUAUAUAGAUUUACAUAAGCAAAUGCUUAUAUGGUCAGUUUUGGUUGUUGCGGACAAAUAAUUUUAUUAUAUGAGUCAGUCUGAGGUAUGAAAACUACUGAAUUUUGUUUACGAUUCAAUAUUUUGAAUAAAAAAGGACAUGCUGGCACUCUAAAUUGAUGCGAACAAAAUUUUUUAGUCAUAAUAUUCAAAUAUUGCUACCUAUUUUCUUAUACAAUCAAUCCUUACAUGAAAAUAUAACUCAUUUACUAUGCGGCUAUAUAGAUUUACAU